GAUGAACGCUGGCGGCGUGCCUAAUACAUGCAAGUCGAGCGAACAGAUAAGGAGCUUGCACCUUUGACGUUAGCGGCGGACGGGUGAGUAACACGUGGAUAACCUACCUAUAAGACUGGGAUAACUUCGGGAAACCGGAGCUAAUACCGGAUAACAUAUUGAACCGCAUGGUUCAAUAGUGAAAGGCGGCUUUGCUGUCACUUAUAGAUGGAUCCGCGCCGUAUUAGCUAGUUGGUAAGGUAACGGCUUACCAAGGCAACGAUACGUAGCCGACCUGAGAGGGUGAUCGGCCACACUGGAACUGAGACACGGUCCAGACUCCUACGGGAGGCAGCAGUAGGGAAUCUUCCGCAAUGGGCGAAAGCCUGACGGAGCAACGCCGCGUGAGUGAUGAAGGUCUUCGGAUCGUAAAACUCUGUUAUCAGGGAAGAACAAAUGUGUAAGUAACUGUGCACAUCUUGACGGUACCUGAUCAGAAAGCCACGGCUAACUACGUG
rnacentral:rRNA from 1 species